rnacentral:lncRNA from 1 species
GGGUUUGUAUCAGUGAUAUGGGUUUUAUAUAAUAUAAUUAGGGCUAGCAAUUUUGGCUAGUUUGUGCAAUUGGCAUAACAUCUACGGUUGAAAAUUUAAUAUUGUUUGGAUUAUUGGAUGUGCUAAGUGUAUACAAAAUUUUGUGAUAAUCUAACGGCGUGGUUUAGAGAUAUCUAGUUUUUAGCACAAGAGGGUUUCAGAAUGUGGCAGUUUGAGGUUGAGUAGGGUUUCUAUGAUAUCUAAAGAUCUAUUAGUCGGAUUAAGGUGAAAAUUGGCAUAGUGUUGAAGGACUUGAUGAUCAAGCUACACAUCAAUUUUGAGACAAAUUUAAUGGUUGGAGAAGGAGAAAUCAUUGCUGGGAUCUCUACUUCACUUUUCAAGUUGGCGGCCAAGUGACAUAUGUGCAAUUUUUGGAGGUUUUCUCACAAUCUGUAAGUUGGAUUGGGCUAAAAAUUCUUGAGUAUUCAAAAGACUUGCAUUGACAAUUGUAAGCAAAAUUUCACAUUAAGUGGACGGUCGGAUUGGAUGUUACAGCUUGUUAAAGCUUACUAAUUAGGAUUGGAGUUUACAAGAAAAAUCUAAAUUGUUUAAAUUUGAAAGUAACAAGGUAAUUGGGAUUUGUAUAUGGUUAAGACUAAUAAGAAGAGUGUUUUAAGCACUUUUGAAUUGAAAUUCAGAUUAUAUUCUUCUUGAAUGGAUGAAACCUAUUAGGGUUUCUUGACUACUUGUGAAACAUAAUCUCACCUUCCACAGCUAAGUGCCUGGUGCAUUCUUGAGUAAAACAACAUGUAAUAAGAAUUUUAUAGAGAAAACAAUGACAAGAAAAAAGAAUAUGAAAAUGAAAAUAUAAUAGACAAUAUGGUAUUAGAAUAUUUUCAAAAAAAUCUAGAUUGCAC